CCCAGCCUCAGCUACUCUGUGAUUCUGUGUCGGCUAACGUCAAAGCUUGGCUAUCUUAAUCGGGAUUGAAAUGACUCUUGCCCUCCAGUCUGCAUAUUCUAAGUGAAGCUGUCCUGUGUGCCUCUGUAAUAGCUUUACCGAGGUGUAUUAACUCCAGAGGUGAAUGCUCUCUGUCUUGCCACAAUAGGCAAUUUGAAAUUGUCUCAAAGACUGAAAAAAGCCAGCAUACUAAAGUAGCCUUUAUUGAACUCCUUUCCCCUCAUGAAAGAUGCAUUUUAACAAAAUGAUAAUAUGCUAUGUAAUCUGGGAGAUCUAAUAGCUGAACAUAGGCAGCUUCUUAGAACGUGAUCCAAUUAAAACACUCCCCAAACCCCCACGUCCCCCUGCCAAAAACUUGCUGUGCUUUAAGCCUUUAUGGAUCACGUAACUGUUCGUCUUCGGUUGCAUCUUCUGUUCAUGCUUCUUGAACGCAUCAGCAAGAGAACUGAAGACUUCCUUGACUGAUGGAUUCAUCCAGGACAUCUCAGAGAUCUUCCCAUAGUACUCCGGGGAGAUCCAUUUAUCAGGUCCAAAGCAAAGCUUUGUUUUUCCCUCUCCCCUUGGACAAAAAGCUCUCACCAGGUGCCAGCGUUCGGAGCAGCGUUACAGCCUGCCUGUGUCCAGGACCCGGUGCUGCCACACUCCUGGCAGCUUUCGGUGAGUGACAAACUGCUGCCGCCCUCCUCUGCACAUGUGUGCAAUAUUAAUAACUGUUUUGUUGACCUUCGUGUUUUCUUUCAGUGUGUCCCAGUAGAACUGAAGCAAUGCACGCAAUUUUCCACGAGAAAUUACAGACGGGUGACUUAAUGGAGAAACCCACCCACUCCUUUGACUACCCUGGACAAAUAUUUCUAUAGCUGCUGCUGGAUUCAUGUGCACUAAUGAACUGAGAGCAGGUUUCCAGGAUGGGAGCCCAGUCCUGAAAUCUUUGGCAAGCCAGGGUUUCCCGCGGGGCAGCGCAUCUUGUUGUGCGACGAGGACUGCACAGAGGGAGUAGUCGGUGCAGCCUGAGCCCUCGCACCCCCCAGAUGUGUCCCCUUGCCAUGAGUCACUGCAGGCACCCUGGGAAUAGUUGCAUUAUGAGGAAAACUGACAGCAUGCUUUAUCUCCCAUACAGCUCUGAUCCAUCUUCCAUCCUCUGUCCUCCACUACUGCAGGAGCAGUGUUAUAUGCAGAG
rnacentral:lncRNA from 1 species